UGCGGGAUGGAGCAGCCCGGUAGCUCGCGAGGCUCAUAACCUCGAGGUCGUCGGUUCGAAUCCGGCUCCCGCAA
rnacentral:tRNA from 9 species